UCGACGAGAGGAAAGGAAAAAAAGGGAGCUAAACCCUAAAUUGUCAAGAAUCAUCAAAUUGAAGCUUGAUUCAAGGCCAAAUCGAUGCAUGAACAUGAAUUAAUGAUCACCCAACCUAGGGGAUCAUAAGUUUGACGCCUAACGAGCUAGGUGGAGGCUUGGGAAAGAAGCGGUCAAACGAAUCAAGCAUGAGAAAAAAGGCGUAUUCGGGAUGCGAGGUAAGUUAAAGCUUACACCUUUUUAUUUAAUAUCUAUUGGUUUUAUAGAUUAUGAAUAAUCAAAAGUCACAUUUGACUUAUGAUGUUUCGACCCGACAUGCGCGGUUCGGAACAAAAGACAAUAAUGAUAAACCAUGUUGAAUGGUUAAAAAGAGCUAAUAAGGUCAUUUAGUCAUGCAAUGACUAAUAAAUAACGAGUUUUGAAUGAUUUACCUUAUAAGGUAAAUCAAUACAAUUAUUAAAGGUAAAACGGCAAUGUGGCCACUCGUUGACAAUAACCGUUAAUUUUGAAGGACACCUUACGGCGUAAGAUAUAAAGGGGUCAAAAUAAUCAAGAAAUAGAUUUAUAAGUAAAAUUGACCGUGUGGUGUAAACCGGUAUAAGUCAUGUAGACGAAAUAAUAAUAAAUCCAUCUCGCAAAAGUAAACGGUCAUAUAGACCAAACGGGUCAAAAGGUGAAAAUAUCACCCUUGACAAUAUCGGCUAAUGUUUUGUAGAGUUGCAUGAUUACAGGAAUAAAUAUUGAUUGAAUGUUGACAUCGCUAUUACUUAGCGGCUACUAAGGCAAGGUAUCAAAACGGGUCAAUAUAUUGAUUCUAGUCAGGUAUGUAUAAUUGGUCAAAUCAUCAUUAGAACUUGAAGUUCAAUGAGGGCUAAACAAGUUAAAAGGGACAUUGGGUUAUCUUUUAAGUAAACCGAAUGAUUUAAGUUAUAGUUAUUGUAUUUUGAAAACAUAAUGGCUAUUAAAACAAGAGCCUAGUUUAAAAGUGGAAUUUUGGUCAAUUAUGACAUGAAAAGUCUUUUGUUGUAAAGAAAGGAUUUAAGAUGACCAAAACGCCCUCGUAAGCAAAAUCGAGCAAAUGAACCUUAAGAGUUGUUUAAAAACAAGUUACAUGAUCAAGCAAAUACUUUGAAUAAGUAUAAAGAGUGAAAAGGGUAAAUCUAGGGUCAAAUGACUCAAUAUGGGUCUUUGCCGUAAAAUGAUAGUCCGAGGGAUAAAACUCGGAAUAUAUGGAUCUCCACAUUAAAUCCACCACAAAUAUAGUUGUGGUGGAAGAUUACUUGGUAAGAAAUGUGGAAAUAUAAAGCUAGAUACAAAUGAAAGCGAAUCGUGUUUAAAAUAUACUUAAAUACCCUUAACGGGUCAAAAUAAACAUGUGAGCGAAAACAGGUUAAGAAUGCGUAAGAAACACGUGAUUCAAACCUAAUAUGAUGGUCAAUAUUGAAAUGAUGUAUCUCAUGAGUUUAUAGAUCUAAUAAACAUGUUUGUUUGAUAUAAACACGAACGGGUCAAAAUUUGGUAAAAAGGGUAAUAAGUCGAAGACUUAAAAGUCUAAAAUUUUAUUAACCUGGAUGUUGGGUUUUAACUCCAUGAGAUAGAGAAUUAAAUUACGGACGCAUAGGAAAAAGAAUCGUGUAAAACGGAUCAAUAACGAAUGAGUUAUGUCCGUUUUCGUAAAACUUGGUUUGGCUGGAAAUAUGCAGCAACAUAAAAUGCACUUGCUGUCAAAAAGGGGGCUAGGUGGGGCGUCUAGCCCCCCCUGAAUCCGAAAAUUGUUAAAUUUUGUUUAUUUGACCCAUGUAACUUGUUUAAACUUAUUAUUUAACUAUCAAAACUAACUUUUAAGUUGGUUUUGAUCAUAGGUGAAUGUCAAGAGUGCCCGGAUGAAGAUCAAGCUCGAUGAGGAACCGAACACGAUAAAGUUAAAAGCUUCCGCACGAUAUUUCGUCGUAACUUUUAAACGACAAACUCAAAUUCAUUACGAUGUAUAUAAACCUUCAUUUGUAAAAGUUUUAAAUUAACCGUAUUAUUCAAAGUACAUGUAAUUAUAAUUACAUGUUCAUUUCCGUAAACUAUACGAAAACCUUAAAAUAAUUACAAGAUGGUAAUCAGAGCUCAAGGUUAAAAGAAUAAAGUGUUCGGUUCGAGGCUUGAUCGCAAAUCCGGUAAGUACAUGUAUAUCAAUGGUUUAGUAUGAUUAAAGUGUUGAGAACAACACAUACCAUUAUCGUGUAAUACACGUUACACCAAUAAAAACGAUAUAGAAUAGAUAUAGUCAACGAAAUUACACACGUUCAUGCGUACAGUAGAAAAGCCUUGUAUUAUAAUACGGGCAUCCUUUAAUGUUGAAAUUACUAACUAUUGUAUAUGUUUUAGUUGAAGGACACUCGCAUAUGAGGAUAGCGAGAGUUUAACAAAUCGCAGAUUUGACAGAGGAACGGUCCAAAGAGUAUGCUCAUCAAGGACCUAAAUCGCGUAACGGUCGCGAACAAGGCUAAUGGCAAGAGAAGCCCGUUAGGGCAAGCAUUACCAGUUUGACGCCUAACGAGCUAGGUGGAGGCUUGGGAAAGAAGCGGUCAAACGAAUCAAGCAUGAGAAGAAAGGCGUAUUCGGGAUGCGAGGAAUAAAUAUUGAUUGAAUGCUGACAUCGCUAUUACUUAGCGGCUACUAAGGCAAGGAAUCAAAACGGGUCAAUAUAUUGAUUCGAGCCAGGUGAAUGUCAAGAGUGCCCGGAUGAAGAUCAAGCUCGAUGAGGAACCGAAUACGUUAAAGUUAAAAGCUUCCACACGAUAUUUCGUCGUAACUUUUAAACGACAAACUCAAAUUCAUUACGAUGUAUAUAAACCUUCAUUUGUAAAAGUUUUAAAUUAACCGUAUUAUUCAAAGUACAUGUAAUUAUAAUUACAUGUUCAUUUCCGUAAACUAUACGAAAACCUUAAAAUAAUAACAAGGGUGU
rnacentral:lncRNA from 1 species